rnacentral:lncRNA from 1 species
CUCUGCAGUUACUUGAGACUUCCGGAUCUUGCUGUUUCAGACCAUCCCAGCUGCAGUGGUGCACAGCAAGAGUCCAAGCAAUUCAAACAUUCAUACAGCACCCAGCAUGUGUGGCCUUAUGGAUCCCAACAGUUGGCCCCAAAGAGAUGCCUCUCAUGGAACAAAAUGAGGUAGGUAACAGUCUACCUAUAGAAGAUUUAAUUGCUUCUCUAUAUGCACGAGCUUGGCUAUAGUUGAAGGACCUAACUUGGUUUGGGGUAGAAUUUCACCCUAUCUGGAGUAGCUUGCAGAGUUUCUCAGGCUCCACUUCAAAACUGGAAGAAGCUGGGAAGAGUGGAGGGGGCUCUGGGAAAUGGCCAACCAUACCCCUGCCAGACGCCCACUGAACAGAACCAGAAUUAAGAUCUUAAAUAUGUAGCUGGAAAAUUCCCAAGAACUAUGUAGUGGUGAUGGUGUCAGAGCCUGAGUAGUGCCUAUCUGAGGCCCUUUCAUCAUAGCCACUUGGAUGAGGCCUCUGCCUUGUGAAGACAUGGCACCUUGGGCCCAGAUGGGAGGAAGGGGACAGCCACCUUUUAUCGACUGCUGAAUGACUUCACAUUCUCUUGUACCACCUGGCACCCGUGGGUUCAAGAAAGAAGGGCACUGUAUCAGUUUCUUAGGGCUGCUGUGACAAAGUACCACCAACUGGAUGGCUUAAAACAAUAGAAAUGUAUUGUCUCACAGUAUAGGAGGGAUUAAGUCUAAAAUCAAGAUGUUAGCAGGCUCUGUUCCCUCUGAAGCCUGCAGAGGAAUCCUUCCUUGGCCCUUACUUGCUUCUGGUGGUUUGUGGGUGAUCUUUGGCAUUCCUUGGCUUAUAGAUGCAUAAAUACAACCUGCUGUCAUCACAUGAUGUUCUCUCUGUUUCCCUGUCUUCGCAAGGCCAUCUUCUUAUAAGGACACCAGUCAUAUUGCAUUAGGGGUCCAAUCUACUCCAGUUAGGACCUCAGCUCAACUAAUUACAUUUGCAACAGCCAUAUUUCCAAAUAAAGUCACAUUCAGAGGUGCUGGGGGUUAGGACUUCAUCAUUAUCUUUUUUUGGGGGGGGGA